ACAUGCUUAGAGAAUAGUGUUAAUGCAUUGGAUCCCAUUAGAACUCCACAAUUAAGCAUGCUCGGGCUAGAGUAGUACUAGUAUGGAUGACUACCCGAGAAGUGCUAGUGUUUUACAUGGC
rfam:Picea glauca, whole genome shotgun sequence.